GCCUGCCCACUGAUAUUAUUGAAGGGCUGCGGUAUUUUGACCGUACUAAGGUAGCAUAAUCAUUAGUUUCUUAAUUAGAAAAUGGAAUGAAUGGUUUAAUAAACAGAUAUUAUUUUCACUUUUUAUUUUUAAAUUAUUUUUAAAAUGAGAAAAUUUUAGUUUUUUAAAUAGACGAUAAGACCCUAUAGAGCUUUAUUUUGAAAUUUUAUUUUUAUAUUUUUUAUUAUUUAAUUGGGGCAAUUUAAGAAUAAUAAAAACUUCUUAUUAAAGGUAUGAGUAAUUUAUAAAAAAAUCUUUCUUUGGAAAAGUUAAAAAGUUACCUUAGGGAUAACAGCGUAAUGAGAUUUGAGAGACCAUAUCGAUAGUUUAGUUUGCGACCUCGAUGUUGAAUUAAGAUUUAAAAUAAUAUGUAGCAGUUUUUUUGAGGAGUCUGUUCGACUAUUAAAUUCUUACAUGAUUUGAGUUCAAACCGGCGA
rnacentral:rRNA from 1 species